rnacentral:rRNA from 1 species
CCUACGGGAGGCAGCAGUGGGGAAUAUUGCACAAUGGGGGAAACCCUGAUGCAGCGACGCCGCGUGAGUGAAGAAGUAUUUCGGUAUGUAAAGCCCUUUCAGCCGGGAAGAAAAUGACGGUACCUGACCAAGAAGCCCCGGCUAACUACGUGCCAGCAGCCGCGGUACUACGUAGGGGGCAAGCGUGAUCCGGAUUUACGGGGGGUAAAGGGAGCGUAGACGGCAGGGCAAGUCUGGAGUGAAAGGCGGGGGCUCAACCCCCGGACUGCUCUGGAAACUGCCAGGCUGGAGUGCAGGAGAGGUAAGUGGAAUGCCUAGUGUAGCGGUGAAAUGCGUAGAUAUUAGGAGGAACCCCAGUGGCGAAGGCGGCUUACUGGACUGUAACUGACGUUGAGGCUCGAAAGCGUGGGGAGCAAACAGGAUUAGAUACCCUAGUAGUC